GCGGGUGUGGCUCAGUGGUAGAGCAUCUCCUUGCCAAGGAGAAUUCAUCCAAUCUGUAACGCUCUAUUCACAAAGGUUUUACAAAUUACAAAUAUUUUCCGUACCA
rnacentral:tRNA from 1 species